GCGAAAAUCACGUGUUUUCUCUUCUCAAAUCCCCCAUUGAAGCGAAAAUCACGCGUUUUCUUUUUGCAAAUCUGCCAUUUAACCAGAAAAUCACGCAUUUUCUCUUCGAAAAUCCCCCAUUGAUGCGAAAAUCACGCGCUUUUCUCUUCGAGAAUCCCCCAUUGAUGCGAAAAUCACGCGUUUUCUCUUCAGAAAUACCACAUUUAAGUGAAAAUCACGCGUUUUCU
rnacentral:lncRNA from 1 species